CAACCCUCGCACCCGACCGUCAAACCCUAUUACUGUUUCUCAACCCUCGCCCAUCAAUGCAACCCUCGUUGGCCCUCUGUCUCUGUCUCACCAUCAACGCAACCCUUGUUGGCCCUUCCUCAGCGCAGUGGUCUCUGUCUCUCGCAAACCCUGUUGCCCCUACUGUAUAAAGAUCUUUUUGCAUCUGGAUUACGCAAGAGAUCCAGCGUUCUUCUGUACGAUCUUCUUGGAACUGGCGGAACAUUAUUAGCAAAAGCUGUUGCUACUGAAUGUGUUAACUUGAUAUUGGGAUAAUAACAAGUUCAAAUGGAAGCAUGCUUGGUCAGAUGUGAGCAGCUGUAAUGUAACUAAAGAUCUUUUUACAAUUUUGAAAAAAAAAAGCUUUUAAUAGUUGUGUUUUCACUGCUGUUGCCGCUGCCACCUCUCUUGGUUUGCUUCUGCUGUGGUACUGCUGUUGCUGCUAGGGUACGGAUUUAGUUUCUACGGUGCUAGUUGACUACUAUCUUUAUUUUAGUUUAAUUUUAAAAAUUCAGACACCUUUUGUAGAGGCAACUACGUGAAUGUGAUCGUGGUUAUUUAUGUCCUAACCUCGUAUAACUUAUUAUACUUUUUAUAACUUACUUGUUUUGUAAUAGAACCUCUAUCAUUAGAGGUCAUGUGAUCGUGGUUCUCUAUGUCCUAACCUUGUAUAAUUUGUUAUUCAUGUUAUGUAUACUACUUAAUUUGUUAUUCAUGUUAUGUAUACUACUUUAAGCUUUCUCGAGGCGGUCACUUCAAGGCUUUCUUUAAAAAUUGCUAAAACUCAAUUUUCUUUGAUAUUUUUUGUUAGUUAUUUUUAAAGUAUUUUGGAGGUUGGGAAAACAUUGUCUCUUAUUAGUUACAUAGGAAGCUAGAUUUGCAGUUAGUG